UCGAGUUAGGGUCUCCUGUAGGCCCGACCUCCAACCCUGUGUCUACCUAACCUCACGUUGCUUCGGCGGGCCCCGUCCCCCUGGAAAACAGGGGGCGAUCGCCGGUGGCCAAACUUCAAAACUCUUGUUGAACCGUGGCGUCUGAGUAGGAAAGAAUCAAUAAACCAA
rnacentral:misc_RNA from 1 species